UUACCGGGUGGUGACGGUGGCGGAACAAUGAGACGUCUCCACCCUGCUGGAGCGGGCCCGCCAGCAGCGAGCCGGUGUCCGCCACCCACUACCACGAUCAGUCGUCUCGCCCCCACUCGGUGUUCACGCUGCGCCGGGAGGGUACUGGCGCAGCGCGCCGACACGGCUCACUGCACCUGGUCGACCUGCGCCGGCUCCGAGCGGCUCAGAGUCCGCAGCGCAGGGCGACCGGCUCACCGAGACAAAGAAUAUCAACUAGUCGCUGGCCAGCCUGGGCAACGUCAUCAUGGCGCGGGGAAAUACGCAGGAUCACGUGCCGCUCCGCGACUCCAAGCUGACGCACCUGCUGCACCACUCACUGGACGGCAACAGCAAGACGCUGAUGCCCGUGAACGCGUCGCCGAGCGAGGACGGCGCCGGCGAGACGCUCAACUCGCUGCGUUUGGCCGUCCAAGUCAACCAUUGUCACAUUGGCACCGCCACGAAACCUACCCGGUGAGGGCGGUCACACCGUGGUGAGGCUGAGCCGUGCAGGGAUGGGCGUAGUUUUCCAGCGACGAACGGAGCGAUAAACUCUCCAGCCUCCUGAUCUGUCGGGCGCACGCUGUAUGUACUUUACCGCCGGGGACGGUACAUCUGACAGUCGGAGCUAUCCGGCCCCGCGCGGAAGUCGCCGGGCAUGGUGGCAGGUGCGUUGCUGUCUAUGGAGGUGUUUAUUGAAUAAACGUAUCUCAUGCUCGGGACACGUGCAUUGGAUAAACUUAUCUCAUCAGUCGGGGGAGGUUUGGUCAAUCGUUGUCAUUUUUAGCACGUGCUAUUUUUGUCACACGUGCCAAAAAUGGCAACGAUUCUGCUAUUUUUGACGACGAUGAAGCCGAUUUCAUUCCUCAGCGAGGAGAUCACGAUUUUGGGAAUACAAGCACUGAUUUUGGAAAAGAAGUGCUGACACCUGGUGCAAGAAGAAUAAACCAGCUUUAAUAUGGGCCGUUGUUUGUAUGGUAGUUUGUUUUGUGGCCUGAAGUUGGAACUUAAAAACUACUGUUACGUGUCAUGUUGUGCCGAACUACGACCGUGUCGUACGCAACUAAAUCAUCGUGUCGGUCGGAACUCUGCUUCAGGGCGAAUCAAGCGGUUUUCUGCGAUGCAUCGUUCGUUUAAAAUAAAAUAGCAUGUCAUU